ensembl:lncRNA
GAUGCAGUACCUCUUUGAUAGUUACCUUGAACUUUUAUUUGAGAGCAGUUAUGUGUGGCAGGUUUUUCCAGCUACUGAUAGAGAUGUCUCCUGGCUGUUUAACUGUGACACUUGUUCCUGGCAGUGCUGGAAGCAUGGGAAUUGACUGCACCAACCUGUGCAAGACCAGUGCCUGUGCAAGCUAUCCUAUGUUACCAUUGCUGUUGAAAAUAAAUUGCUCUUAGCACUGAGAAAAAACUUCAGUGGAAAAAGAACAAAUAGGGAAGAUGACAGUAUUAUAAAUCAGCACCUCUGAAUCCUGAAUGUACAGCUUGCAACUGGGGGAGGAGAAUUACUUUCAGAAGCUCUCAGUACAGACCCAAGCUAGUGCUGGGCUGUGACCUUGCACAAGGCUGCAACAUGGUGUGGUCAUCACAGAGCAUGCUGCCUGUCACCUGCUUUCAUGGGUAUCAGACACCCGCAGGCAGCACACCAUGGUCUAGUUAAAUUGUUUUGAUAUUUCAGUACUUCCUUUUCUGAAAGGGAGUCUAUUUGUUAUUCCAUGGCAGGAAGUAUCCCAGUUCGUGUGCGAAAACUGGACAUUCAUCUGUUAAAUGAUGGUCAUACGUUAGUGCAUACGUAGAUGCUGGCACUUCUUACACUACAGCUGGAAAUGCAGAUAUCACAUGCUUGUAAAGCAUAGCAUUGGAUGCUACUUGCUCAGUGAUGAAUGAAUUUCUACAUAUGUGACAGGAGAAGGAAUACAGCCUUCCAGGGGUUUCAUAAAGGCAAUGCAGUCCAUACCACUAGAAGGAAUUUCUUAGUCCGGUUUCUCUGUAGGCUGAAACAUGGAGGGGCUGUCCUGGGUAUGGGGGGCUCUUGUUUUAAAGAAUAACCAGCAUCUAUAUCAUGCAGAUGAUGCUGACAGCAUUGAAAUCUGCAGUAUCCUUAUUGAGAAAGGACUUUCAAAAUUUAGUACAUCUUUUGGUGGACAUGCUGCCUGGUCACGGAUAUGGAGUAGUCCCAUGAGUAUCUUAUGGAAAAUCAGCAAGCAGUAUCUUUUUGUUUGCCUUUUGCAACUGGUGUGUUUCCCCUUGAAUCAAAUGCAAAGGGACUUUCCUAACAGCUGGAUCUGCUGUGCUUUCUGUAUUGUCAUUUAUGGAGAGCAGUUAAGAGUCUGAGAUGUGUGGGAAAAACUGGAUGUUGAUAAUUUGUGGUGAGAGCAGGACUAUGUCUUACCAUGCAGAUGCUGUGUACUUUGUAUUCUUCUGAGAAACUUGUGAAGGCUUCUCCAGUGGGGCAUGUUUUGGUGACUGUCACGUAUUUACCAUGUGGAGUGUCCAAACUAUUCAGUCUCUGUGCUCAUUAGAGGACAGACAGACACCCAUGUCUUGUUUUGGAGUCAGUGUAUCUGUUAAUUAGCGAUUCUAGUGAUAGUCACUGGAGGGUUAAACAUUCCCAAAGGAUUAUUUCCAACCUUGUUUUUCUUCUGUUCUUUCUCUUCCCCAUUACACUUAUUCUACUGAGAACCUGUUUCACCUCGUUACGGGGUUUAUGUCCUACCUCAAUGGACACUCUCUGUUCUGCUUUAUUGCAAAGACAAUAAAGCAUCCAACAGAAAGCCCAGCUUGCAACACAGAGAUGAUCUGUGUGAGGAGCCUUGUAGCAAGCGAACUUUGGGGCCACUUCCCAAGUGCUGGCUGCUAGAUUCAGCUCUCUUCUGAUUUGGAGAAGGAAGCAUUCCGAGAUUAUUUUGCCUCUACAGUUUUUACUGGGGAGGUUGCUGGUCUUUGCUGUUGAUUCCAAGCCCC